rnacentral:rRNA from 1 species
GACGAACGCUGGCGGCGUGCCUAAUACAUGCAAGUAGAACGCACAGUUUAUACCGUAGCUUGCUACACCAUAGACUGUGAGUUGCGAACGGGUGAGUAACGCGUAGGUAACCUGCCUGGUAGCGGGUGAUAACUAUUGGAAACGAUAGCUAAUACCGCAUAAUAUUAAUUAUUGCUUGAUAAUUAAUUGAAAGGUGCAAUUGCACCACUACCAGAUGGACCUGCUUUGUAUUAGCUAGUAGGUGAGGUAACGGCUCACCUAGGCGACGAUACAUAGCCGAACUGAGAGGGUGGUCAGCCAGACUGGGACUGAGACACGGCCCAGACGCCUACGGGAGGGAGCAGUAGGGAAACUUCGGCAAUGGACGAAAGUCUGACCGAGCAACGCCGCGUGAGUGAAGAAGGUUUUCGGGUCGUAAAGCUCUGUUGUAAGGGAAGAACGGGUGUGAGAGUGGAAAGUUCACACUGUGACGGUAUCUGACCAGAAAGGGACGGCUAACUACGUG